AUUGAACGCUGGCGGCAGGCCUAACACAUGCAAGUCGAGCGAGCGGCGGACGGGUGAGUAAUGUAUGGGGACUGCCCGAUAGAGGGGGAUAACUACUGGAAACGGUAGCUAAUACCGCAUACUAUCGGAUAACCCAUAUGGGAUUAGCUAGUAGGUGAGGUAAUGGCUCACCUAGGCGACGAUCCCUAGCUGGUCUGAGAGGAUGAUCAGGCCAACUGGGACGGAGGACCGGCCCGGAACCCUGCGGAGGGAGCCGUGGGGAAUAUUGACACAUGGGCGCAAGCCUGAUGCAGCCAAGCCGCGGGUAUUGAGGAGGCCCUAGGGUUGUAAAGUACUUUCAGUCGGGAGGCGUUACCGACAGAAGAAGCACCGGCUAACUCCGUGCGAGCAGCCGCGGUAAUUC
rnacentral:rRNA from 1 species